CUACCGUCUUUCUCUGUAUUUCUCUCUGAUAUACUCUGUCUCACUGAAAACUGAAUAAACGAACCUUUUUAAUGUUGAAAAGGUAUUUAUGACGGCCUCGCCUGAGCCGCUGGGCGGAGUCAGAGCAGCUGCUCUUCCCGAGCCCUGGUCCCCUCUGAUCCUUGGCAUGAUUGUUGACGGAGCAAAUCUGAUUCCUCGCACGAGAGCAAAAGAGGAAACGGGCAGAUGACUUGUUUAAUUAGGCUGGAGCUGGCAGCCUGACAGGGUGAGAUCUCCAGGCCCUUGCUGUUGCAAGCGCUCCCUCCGAUGUGCCCGCCUGUGGCAUUUGGGAGAAUGGGCCGUGGCCGUUGGCUUCUUAGCCGGAUGCAUUCCCAUGCCACUCCCCCUGCUCCUCAAAUCUGCACCAGCAGCUCCCCAAAAUGGGCCCUUGCCCUUUUGAAGCCAGGCUGUCAGCAGCUGGAAAGCUCCAGGCACCUCCCCGGCACAUCUCUUUUCCCAAUCUGGACCUUUUUAGGAGAGAGACCCUCUUGGACUCCCCUGCCCAGCUCUGGUCCGUUUCCAGGCUUAUUUUGGUCUUUGGCUCUUUGUGCCAAGACAGCGAGCAGCACAAGACACUACAGUGCCUGACAUUUUGCAAACGAGGCCAGGAAAAAUAACAUCCCUGUCAGCCUUCUCUUGUCCUCUGAACAAGCAGGGAGGAAUCUCAGAAGCUCCGCUGAAUCCAAAGGAUCUUGGACUUGGAAGUGUCCCUUGGGCCCAUCACCCUGCCGAGGAGGUCCGUUCAGGAGAUCAAGCAAUGGAGACAGAUGGAGAUUCUUGCAAUGCUCAUGAUACUGGAGGAGGAGGAGAGCCCACGGCUCCGGCGUUGGUCUCCACGGAGCUGCAAGAAGAGACAAAAGGAAACAACAAAGAGACAGGAGAAGGUGAGACAAAAGGUGUCCCAGGUGAGACAAAAGCAGAGGAAGAAAGUCAGAAACACCCUGAGGCAUCAAGCCUGACUGCGGCUGGAGGAGGAGAAGCAACUCCAGGAGACGCAAAGGCAACGGAGGUGAACCAAAACCACCCUGAGUCUGGAGCAGAAGGAAACACGGGAGAUGCAAAGGCAAUGGAGGAGAACAAAGGUCUUACUAAGGAAACAAGCCAGACUGUGGAUGGAGGAGGAAGCCAAGGAGAUGCAAAGGCCGUGGAGGAGAACCAAAGCCAUCCUGUGGAAUCAAGCCAGAUAGUGACUGAAGGAACCCAAGGAGAUGUAAAAGCAACAGAGGAGAACCAAAGCCACCUUGAAGGCAGCCAACAGAAGCACCUGCACCUUCAGCCGAGCUUCAGCUGCCCAGCUACUAUGCACAGCUUGGAAGAUAUUCCCGAGGAGGCUUUGGGCACCCAAGGGGAGCAGAAGCCAAAAGAAGAACCGAAGGCUGGAGAAUCCAAGGACGUGGAGGCUCUUGUCCUGCCGCAGGAUCCGGCUGGAGGGCAACCACUUCCAGCCAAAACGGAGGCAGAAAGGACCUUGGCCCGAGAGCCUGACGCUGCCCCAGAGAAUGCUGUGGCCGAGAUCCCAGUUGGACAGGUUCCUUCCGAAAACAAGGCGGACGUGGCCACCCCGGCAGAGGUCGGCGCUCCUCCCAUCAUGCCAGCCUCUCCAACCGGACCCUACCUCACGGCGGACUUUGGCAAAGAGGACCCGACUAUGAUCUUGGGUAAGGCCACCGAGGCCUCGGGCAUCCUCGGUCUGCAGCCACUUUGGCCGGAGCAAGUGGGAGAAGUGGGA
rnacentral:lncRNA from 11 species